rnacentral:rRNA from 1 species
AGAGUUGAUCAUGGCUCAGGACGAACGCUGGCGGCGCGCUAACACAUGCAAGUCGAGCGGAGAUAUUAGUAAUAAUAUCUUAGCGGCGGACGGGUGAGUAACGCGUGGGCAACCUACCUUAAAGAGGGGAAUAACUUAGGGAAACUUAAGAUAAUACCGCAUAACACUAUAGUAGAGCAUUCUACAGUAGUCAAAGGAGUAAUCCGCUUUAAGAUGGGCCCGCGUCUGAUUAGCUAGUUGGUGGGGUAAUGGCCUACCAAGGCAGCGAUCAGUAGCCGAACUGAGAGGUUGAUCGGCCACAUUGGGACUGAGACACGGCCCAGACUCCUACGGGAGGCAGCAGUGGGGAAUAUUGCGCAAUGGGGGAAACCCUGACGCAGCGACGCCGCGUGGAGGAAGAAGGUCUUUGGAUUGUAAACUCUUGUCGACAGGGAAGAUAAAAGACGGUACCUGUGGAGGAAG